rnacentral:rRNA from 1 species
GACGAACGCUGGCGGCGUGCUUAACACAUGCAAGUCGAACGGAAAGGCCCUGCUUUUGUGGGGUGCUCGAGUGGCGAACGGGUGAGUAACACGUGAGUAACCUGCCCUUGACUUUGGGAUAACUUCAGGAAACUGGGGCUAAUACCGGAUAGGAGCUCCUGCUGCAUGGUGGGGGUUGGAAAGUUUCGGCGGUUGGGGAUGGACUCGCGGCUUAUCAGCUUGUUGGUGGGGGAGUGGCUUACCAAGGCUUUGCCGGGUAGCCGGCCUGAGAGGGUGACCGGCCACAUUGGGCCUGAGAUACGGCCCAGACUCCUACGGGAGGCAGCAGUGGGGAAUAUUGCACAAUGGGCGGAAGCCUGAUGCAGCAACGCCGCGUGCGGGAUGACGGCCUUCGGGUUGUAAACCGCUUUCGCCUGUGACGAAGCGUGAGUGACGGUAAUGGGUAAAGAAGCACCGGCUAACUACGUG